GUGAUUUGGGCGAAACUGCGUAACGAGGUAAAACCUGUAUUAUCUUGCUCGGUUCCUUAUACGCUCAGCAUUACCUUUUGUCUCCGAUAUGUUUGUAGGAACGAGCAGAUCUUCUCGUUCUCAUAUGUAACCUGUCUCUUAGUGCUAUAUGUGGUAUACUCUGGUUUAUUGGUUGAACUUAUUUGCCUAUUAUGCUACCAGUGUUUCACAGUAGGCGUAUGUGGCCUUUUUCGCUACGCUAUACAACUUUAUAUAUACCAUUUCGAGUUAUUAACUUUGUGCUAGCAUAUGGUUCAAUUUGACGGCUGACCGUGGGAGUGAAUCUAAGUGUGGCCUGAUCAAAAAAUGAUGGAAUAAUUUAGCUUGCGAAACGCGAUUACCCAGACGAAGACGCCCAUUGCGGAAUGAUUCAGUUGUGGUCGAUUUUUCUGUGAUGUGCUUGCUACCCGUGACCCAAUAUGAGCAACGAUUUGAGACGGCUAAAUCGCAGAGAAAUCAGACAGGACGAGUAAGAGAUCCUGUCAUCGUUACACCUGUCAGUCAAGCAAGGCUCUCCAUGAGCAGGAAAAAGGAACCCCAUAGACUUGUCAGCCCUGUUGCUUACUACUCGUCAUGGCUUCCGUCUAGUGCUGAUGGGGUAAGUAUUGACAACCGGCAAGGAUCGUGCUGUCCAAGAAUGAUCCUCGCGCUUGUAGAAAUCGAAACAGCUUGUAAUUGUUGCUUGUCCUGUGAUAAGAGCUCCUCAAACAAACCGUGCAUCGAAGACUUGUCAUAAGCACAGCAUUGUCGAAGGCAAAGAAAUCAGAAGAAAACAUGAGAGUUUAAUGGCGAGACGUCACGGCAGCAGCAGCAGCAGCAGCGCGGGCGAUAACAACAACAGGACGAAAAUAAGUGAUCUGACAUUUAUUUGUUAUUUGAUUGUAUCCAUGAACGGAUCGCAACGAAAACGCUUACCCCAAGUCACUGUGCUUGAUUGAAGUAAUAUGGCAGCGGGACUAUGGUCGCUUGUUCAUAACAAAAAGCCAGAUACUAAAUUCAGCGACAUAACUGCUCCACACUUUACACAUUCUUAGGACGAAACCGCUGCCGACAUCGGUCCGGCGAUUAGAUUACCGUAAUGGUAAGAUACACCAGGACCAUUUGAUGUGUCCUGGCACAAAGGGUCCUAUCUGUUGGAACGCUACAGAUUUGUCGACCAAAACGGCAUUCAGCUGAAUUGUUAGAAUCGUCGGAAUACAAAAGGUGAUCGUGGAAUCUAUCCCAGUUUGUCAACAGCUUUUUGUUUUCACUUGCGAAAACUAUCUUCGUAUCGUCACCAAGCUAAAAUAACAACGAGGUGCUAGCAGCGUUUCGAAAUCCCUAGUAAGAGCCGACACUUGAGAUUUUACCCUCUACUUGACAACAUUGUAUGUAUAUGUAUUAGUUGACUUGUUCAUUUGGCAUUAAGGGCUUUGACACUUUCAUUCAUUCAACUUAAGUUAUCAUUGGUCAACUAACUUGCCAGCUGAGAACAACGACCAGAUAGUCUCAACUUUAUUUCUUCCUCUCGCGUCCUUAGUCCAUGCGUGGUACGUUUGUCGAUCUGUCGUGAUUGUUGCUGUAAGGUCACGACAGCUGUGGUGGCGAGAGCAUCAACAACAGCUAGAGGACUUAUGCCACUCAAGUAGCUCGGCCGUCUAGUCAGUCGUUUUCGGUAACGUGACGGUGCCGAUGGUCGUACGCCAAAGUGGGCGGGCGCUGAACUGAAGAAACCUGGCUGCGCUCGUUGGCUGUUGGAAGUAAUACCCGAUUCUCGCAAGAGAGAAUGGGUUCUUAAUCCCGCGGUGGCGACCGGGUGGUCACCGCCUCUUCGUGCCUGUAGUCAUAACACCGGCGAGGAUAUAGGGCGACGCAGAUUCGAGAGGAAAAGAAUUGAAUCGUUCAGUGUAGCUUAGUCGGUCGGUCGGUCGGUCGGUCGCUGCAACAGCGCACGAAAAAGACAAUAAACUUCGUUGAUGAGUGAGUACUACUGGGGUACCGCUGCUAUCGGUGCAGCAUCGUAGUGUAAGCGGUACAUACCUCACGAGAAGAGAGGCGCUCGCUAAUACGUCCGUAGGCUGCAGGGGAAUGGAGUUGGCAAUUGGCGACUGCCCAUUCAAACACAUACACACACGAGAAUCAACUCUCACAUAGCAUGCACACAAUUAUCAUAAUGCAUGUUCAUUGUUUUCUGGCGUGCUCAACGCUCUUUGUUGCACAUAUAUAUACAUCGUCGUGCAUAGCGGGGUGGACCGCUCAAACUCGUUGGCCGUUUACAAAGCGGGCGGCGUACACGGCAGCCAGCAUCACGACUGCGAGACGGAAAGAACAAAAGCUGGAAGCAGGAAACCGUGUGGAGUGUGGUUUUCGCUGCACCUCGGUACAUUAACAACGGUUUUUAAUGGAACGCACUGCUGUGACUCCAGCCACAUACAUUAGAUUCAAUUUCGAAUGAAUGAAUCCACCGUAGACAAGAGGCAAUAACACGGUCAAGCUAUAGCUUUCUGCUCGUCGAAGCGAGCGACAGUUAGAUAACGCUAUACGUUACUGUUAGGACAAGCCACAGACACUGGAAUGAAUGAACAGCCAGACACAGGCAGACGCACCCUGCGAUCGGGACGGCAAAUAGUAUUCUACUUGCUCAUCAACGUGUCCAAAUUAAUUUCAACUUGACCAUUAUGACCUGACGCCAUUGCUUCAUCAAAGAGCCAUCUAGUCGUCAGUCAAUGAAGGCGAAUCAUAUGAGGUACCCCUCCCACAUUGUUUUCAAGUUGCAGAACGAACAAACCGAAAACACAAGAGAACAUUUAAGAACUAAAACAGCUAGGCUAAAAAAAAAAAAAAAGCUGAAAUGCACAUGUUUUUUUUUGCCGUCUGAAGGACGAGAACGCCGACACGCAAACUCCUCAUCAGCACCGUAACUCAAAUAUGAACAGAAAUUCUGUCGAUACAAAGUAGACACCGACGUGAUAUCUCGUUACAAUAUAUUAGCUACUGAGCCGUAGUCCUUGAUCACGCUCUACCACGACUCAGCGACGAUUCAACUAAAAAGAACCGUGAUGGCCGAACAAAAUAACAAUAGCAUAGACACGUAGAAGGGUUACGGUGCAUCUCGGUCGCUGAAGCAAGUUUUGGUGCCUUCAAAAAUGGCAAGUGCGGUGAAAAUCACAAGCUAUAAGGUUGCCGAGUCUUGUCGCCGUAUCUCUUUCGUAAUUCCCACAUGUGUGAAGCACAUGUUGACGUGUUUAUUUUCUCCCGGUUCGGCCCCGCCAUACGGAUAAGCCGGCAGGAUCGAAGUACGGCCAGUGCUUUUGGGCAACUCAAUGAUCUGACUUGGUACUAGUAUGCUCGAAGCCCGACGAUGACGGUCCUUAGUGCUUGUUGAAAUAGCAUAUGUCUUCACUGAGUAGCCUAUGAUGCUUCGUCGUAUAGCCGCUCGUCCGACGACGCGUAGAAAUAGACUGCGCAAAGGUGCAUAAUUAGUAAUUGCGCCGUAGAAGUAAUGCUGGUGGCAAUAAUGUGUCUACCAAUUACGCAGACAAAACGGUUAUACAGCCGAGAGCGAAACAAAAUGUGCCUAUUUGUCGUCCGAUACUGACAAUCUGAGCUCUGAACGGAUGAUAUUUUCAGUAGACAGAUAGCAAGUAGAAAACGCACAACAAUCGGUAGUGCCACGAGCCUGGUAAGCGUUAUCAACGUAAUCAGAGUAACUUUGACGAACGAGACCGACGGCUGAUGACGCCAUUUAGCGGAAAUAAAACGAUGGAGGCAUUAAAAUAUACAGUUCAUUGUUUCGAUGAAUUCUGCAUUCGAAAGAAGGGGUAUUAAAGAAACUGCAGGCAAUACUGACGAUGGAGAUCAGCGAAAUAUAACAAACAAGGAACUAAUAAUAUAUUCCGAACUAUGCAGGCCCAAGCAGAAGUGUCUUGCUAGUUACUAUGAACAGGUGCAACGGCGUUUGAACAAUUAGGUCUUCGCGGCCAUUUGAAAUAUUUCACCAGCCGUCUUGCCCCUAGCAACUGGUCAUUCUACGCUCACCUUAACCUACUCAAGAGUCCUAAGUAGAAAUUCAAUAGCGCGGGCCACUGACGACAAACAUUAAUGAAACUAUUCAAAUACAUACACCUGUUCCUUCCGUGCUCCGCUUUGCCUCGCUAUCCAUUCGUCGUGGCCAUAUAGAAUCGUAUCUACAAUAAUUUUAGAUCGGCUCCAUAUUCCUUCUAUAUGGUCAUCUCUCAUUCGUAACUCUCGAAAGCUGGUCGGGUUGGGAGACAUUGGGUUGGGACACUAACGGCACUCGGUUGAUGGAACGGCACAAGCGACCUGCAUUGCAAUUAGUUCGCUGACAAUCCUCUAUUAGUUGUAUUGUCCCUGGGUCGAGUCGACACUGUGCGCUCUGGUGCAAUACAUUAGCCGGAGCUCACAUUCUGUCGUUAGUGGGAACUUCGCAGAAGCAUCGUCGAUCGAGCUCUAACCUAUCGGCGUCAUAAGCAGUUGACACUGGCUUAAGAGAAGAGCGUACGCAUAUACAGAACAUGUAUCGUUCUACCUGUUCGUUGGCGCAUUUGAUGUCCGAGCCGCUGGGGACAGGGGAUCAGAUCGUGAGAGGGGCCGAUCUGACGAACUUGGUGAACAGAACAGGUAGCGAUUCCGUCCGUCACAGCCGCUGAUGCGAGUGAUUAGAAUUUGCUUUCUCUCUCUGAUCGCUGAUCUGCUAACAACAAACAUUCGGCGACUGACCCCUUUACCCUUACCAAAUGGUUCUGAAGGGCCCAUCAAGCUCAUCAAUUCAGCUAUUAAUAUGAACAGCAAUAUGGAUGAACGUCCCAUGACCGCAUAUGACAGCAAGGCUGGCGAGUAAACGUGAUUAGAGCAGGUAAUAUUAAAGGGAAAUAGGAAAAAGGAUGUGGGCGCUAACGAGUUCUGCUGUAAAUUCGUAGAAGGCAGAGCGACACGUUACUUGGUUUGGUCGAAUCUACCGGAGAUAGGCAGCAAAUAAGGCAAAAUCAGCAAAGAGCAAAGGGAGCUGGAGACGGCGAGCCACUGCUGCUGCCGCCACCCGUUUGUGUAUUGUUGAAUGCAACACAGACAGCUUCGUUCCACCCCGGAUAGGACUGGAUAAGCGAAACACGUUUAUUCCCAUACGUAUACGUAAACGUGGCGCGGCCUUCCUGUCUGCGAGCUUUUCGCGUUUCGGUCCUCGGCGUUUCAAGCAGAAUCAAAAAGGUGCUUGUUUUGUUUGGGACUCGCCCGAACGCCCUGUAGGAGAAUACGCUUAAACAGACACACACCGAGGCAUACACGGAGAACGUAACGACGACGGCGACGGCGGAAAAAAAUAGCAGCAGCAGCAGCAGAGAAGCGCGAUAAACGACAUCAAGAAUCGUUAGCAGAGCUUCGACAUAAAUGCUUUGUCGGUAGCUUUCUGUGCUGUUGUUGUUGGUAAGUUGAACUUCGCCCGCGUAAUGUUAAUGCACAGUUAAUGUGCCCGCCCCGUUCCGGUAAGCCAAGCUCGGCAACAAGAAAUACACGCGAAGCAACAUGACGAAACGGGAUGCAGUUUGUCUUCUGGCUAGACUGACGGACAAGGGAAAGUUUAGAGAUUUCGUGAACUUACUGUCGCCAUCUGGCACAGUAUAAUAGCAACGUGAGAUAUUCUGGCGGAACUAAAAUUUAACUGAAUAAAGGCUACCUCUGUAUA
rnacentral:lncRNA from 1 species